rnacentral:tRNA from 1 species
GCUGGCGUAGCUCAGUUGGCAGAGCAGCGGUUUUGUAAACCGCAGGUCGGAGGUUCGAUCCCUCUCGCCAGCUCCA